UUUUUUUUUUUGAGAAGAAGUCUCAGUCUGUCACCCAGGCCGGAGUGCAGUGGCAUGAUCUCGGCUCCCUGCAAGCUCCGCCUCCUGGGUUCACGCGAUUCUCCUGCCUCAGUCUCCCAAGUAGGUGGGACUACAGGCGCCUGUCACCAGGCCCGGCUAAUUUGUUUUUGUUUUUUGUUUUUUGAUUUUUUUUUGUACUUUUAGUAGACGGGGUUUCACUGUGUUAGCCAGGAUGGUCUCAAUCUCCUGACCUCGCGAUCCGCCCACCUCAACCUCCCAAAGUGCUGGGAUUACAGGCAUGAGCCACUGUAAUCCUUACUCUUAAAUCCUGAAAUCCUUGUCCUUUGGUCUCCCCACCAUCCUGGAGUUUCAUUGAACCUUUACUUCAUCCAGCCCAAGCCUCUCCCCUCUUCCUGGCUUCUCUCUUUUACCUUUCUCCUUUCUUCUCCUCUCUUUCUUCCUCUCUUUUAGGAACAAAAGCCGUUCAUUCCUCUCCUUGUCACAUACAGAGCAGCUUUCCCGCUCCAUAUCUCAGCAUCUGACAGCCAUGCUGACAAAGUGACCACAUGCCCACUGGGCUCACCAAGACCUUCCAUAAACCUAGAUCGCGCCUUCCACAAGGGAAGUUCUGGUGUUCAAUGUUAAGAAAGCAGCAUUUCACCAACCCCGUGAGAGCCCAGGGAGGAAUGCUUUCAUGGGCAAGUAAAUUUGGAAAAUUGUGCACACUGAAGACCCCUCUUAGAGAUUCACAACACAAAGGAUCUUGUGAAGUGUCAAGUUCUCCAGUAAAGACUCAUGUUUAACUCUGUGAAACACAGUAUUUCUGGAGCUCUUUGGGCCAUGGGUUAAUAAGGACACUGCUGAUGACUUACAAAAUAUGCCUUAGAAUGUGCACAGAAAAGGCCCAAGCCUGCCCAAGGAGACAUGUAAGGAGGCCCUGGGAGCAGAAAUACUGGAAAGAAUGAGCCCCCUUGUUGCAGCAGGAAAGCUUUCCCUCGCCCAACCUCACCGAGUGACCUUGGGCCCAUCCCAUCUUCUCCGGGGCCUCAGAAUUAUAGGCUGGCUGGGCUUUGCGCUGUUCCUGACAUUAUUUAUGACAUGAGCCUGGUCACCCCUGUCCUAUAACUGCCUCACAGAGGUGCUCUAAGGAUAAAUAAGUCCAUUAUCUGCAGAGUGCUGAGAGCUCCUUUGAGGGAGGCUUUACAUAAAUGCACAGUUAUUCUUGUGCUUAUAUUAAGUCAGUUAUCAACCUUUUGAGCCAGUCCAGUUUUCUGCACAGGUUGUAUGGAAUAGUAAGAGAGAAACAGGUGAUGCAUCCUCGAAACAAGUGGUGCUGCUUUCAGUCCAGUUUGAGAUGGCAUGUCUAUACACCUCUGCGCACACACACCACACACACACACACACCAGGGAGACACUCUGAGGAUUCAAUAGUUAAGUUAAACAUUAC
rnacentral:lncRNA from 1 species